rnacentral:misc_RNA from 1 species
UCCGGUUUGACACCGGCAGUCUCCCUAGAGUUCCCGGCUUUACCCGCUGGUAACUAGGGACGAGGGUUGCGCUCGUUGCGCCACUUAAGGCAACAUCUCACGACACGAGCUGACGACAGCCAUGCAGCACCUGUGUAAGCUCCCCUUGCGGGGUCGUCAUCCUUUCAGACUUCUACCACCUACAUGUCAAGACCAGGUAAGGUUUUUCGCGUUGCAUCGAAUUAAGCCACAUACUCCACCGCUUGUGCAGGCCCCCGUCAAUUUCUUUGAGUUUUAACCUUGCGGCCGUACUCCCCAGGCGGUCAACUUCACGCGUUAGCUUCGUUACCAAGGAAUUGCUUCCCCGACAACCAGUUGACAUAGUUUAGGGCGUGGACUAC